rnacentral:rRNA from 1 species
UACGUAGGGGGCAAGCGUUGUCCGGAUUUAUUGGGCGUAAAGAGCGUGUAGGCGGUUCGGUAGGUCCGUUGUGAAAACUCGAGGCUCAACCUCGAGACGCCGAUGGAAACCCCCGAACUAGAGUCCGGAAGAGGAGAAUGGAAUUCCUGGUGUAGCGGUGAAAUGCGCAGAUAUCAGGAAGAACACCCGUGGCUAAGGCGGUUCUCUGGGCAUUACCUGACGCUGAGGAGCGAAAGUGUGGGGAGCGAACAGG